CCUACGGGAGGCAGCAGUGGGGAAUAUUGGGCAAUGGGCGCAAGCCUGACCCAGCAACGCCGCGUGAAGGAAGAAGGCUUUCGGGUUGUAAACUUCUUUUCUGAGGGACGAAGAAAGUGACGGUACCUCGGGAAUAAGCCGCGGCUAACUACGUGCCAGCAGCCGCGGGAAUACGUCGGUGGCAAGCGUUAUCCGGAUUUAUUGGGUGUAAAGGGCGUGUAGGAGGGAAAGCAAGUCAGAUGUGAAAACUCAGGGCUCAACCCUGAGCCAGCAUUUGAAACUGGUUUACUUGAGUGCUGGAGAGGCAAUCGGAAUUCCGAGUGUAGCGGUGAAAUGCGUAGAUAUACGGAAGAACACCAGCGGCGAAGGCGGAUUGCUGGACAGUCACUGACGCUGAGGCGCGAAAGCGUGGGGAGCAAACAGGAUUAGAUACCCGGGUAGUC
rnacentral:rRNA from 1 species